GUUAUUGGGUUUGGUUUGGCUUUUUCCACCAUCAGACAAGUUAAUAUAGUUGGUUCCUUCAAUCAAGAUUUGAAUCCAUCUGAUCACCUGCCCUAACCUAAUCUACUCUUCUCUCCGCUCCUGGCUUUUGGCAGCCUUUAGCUGUAACCACAAGCAUCAACUCUGAACUGUGAGGUGCCCUUCCCACCUCAACACUCUCUUCUGAUAAUGGUUGGUUGCCAAAAUAAGUCCCCUGUGGCUUAGAGGUGAAGGGAAAAAUAGCUUUUCUAAAUCUCUUGACUCGUUUGGGUAAGGUGGUUUUCUUUUUUUCCAUGAAGCAUGUAGUUUGUGGCAGUUCAGCCUCUGCAGUGGAUUGUUCAUGCCAGGGUUAGAACACGGAGAGUAGAUGUCAAGCUGAGCAGGAUCUCCUAAGCCACUGGGCACAGAGAAAGGGAAGAGAGAGAGACUGCCAAAAAUGUUGGUAAGGUGACCAUGCCGCAAAACCUUUGGUUGUCCUUGUCACAUGCAUUGGUGGCCAACAUGUUACACACCCCCCACCCCAGUCUCCUCAGGCCUGGGGAUGGGAGCAUGGGAGAAUGUCAGAGACCGUUGUGAAUGAGAGGGACCCGUCCCCUCAGAAGAAAGGAGGCUUCCAAAAUCACAAGGACCCUCGGACCCUUUUGGACCUGACCUGCAGACCGUGUCCUUGGGAGAAGGGGGUGGUGAUGAAUUUGCUGUUGCAUUGGGUGUAGGUGGCAGCGUGUUGGACACGCCCAGUAUCAUUAUAAUUGAAAUUCUUUAUCAAGUGCCUGGGUGUUUAUCUUGGAGAGCUUGAAAGAGUUAUGAAUCUGACGAGUGCAUAUCAGGCUGGGGUGGAGAGCACAAGAACAAUCAUCAUCAGUGUGGCAGGCAAUAUAUUAUGGCUGGCUUGCCAGAUUGAAAAGUGAAUGUGAUUUGUCUUUGUGUUUGCUUUACCAAGGGAUAAGAGACUGUUUUGCUUGCUCAGGUGUUUAGAGUAUUUUAACUCUGCCUUUGUCUUGCUGUGUUUGGGAAUUAGCUUCUAAGUGUUUGUGCAUUCCUCCUUCUCAAACUGGAGGUUAUUUGUGUGUUUGUUCAGAAUGAAACAGGUCUGCUGUGUGUGAUAUUACUUCACGCUCUCAUUGAUUGCUUUGCUGCUGCUGCAGUUUUGGAGGGGAAGUGGCACAAAGAAGCUGAAGUAGCGUUUCUGUUUGAGAAGAAUGAGGCACAGAAUUGUGCUAUUUAUUUAAGAAGCUGUUGCUAUGUUUAUUAAAACAGCAUUGGUUUCUGUAAGUCUCCUCUUCUGCUGUAAGAGAGGAGGAUAAAAAGCAAGAAUUCCAGUUCAGGUUAAAGGACUCAUAAGUAAGAAAGACACCUGAAAGGGAGACAAACAGGUGCAAACAGUGACAUUCAGAAAACCAUAUAGUGGCAAAAAAUUAGUCUUUUGGCUUCUCAAGUAAGCUUUCUUCCUCCUGACAUGGCUCUCUGCUUCUGGAACAGAAGUAGUUUGCAUCUGGGCAGCCCAGAGCUGGGGCACAGAGUCUGUCGGUCCUCAUCCAUGCAGUCAUGGCCUUAGCGUGACAUUAAUGCCAAAUGUGUGGCUGGUAGUAUUUUUUUUGAGAGAAUUAUUGAAUUUGACACUGACACAGGAAGGAUUCUAUAGGCUAUCUCCAGACUUUUUCCUGCAGGGAGCAGGAACCAUUCCAUAAUAACUCACCAUCCGAUUUACCUAGAGAUGUCACAAAAUAUUCUCUCCAAGUGGCCUGCGUAAGUACUGGAUGGUUAGAGGACUUGUUUGUUUGUUUGUUUCUUAAUUCUCUAGGAAUAAUUCAUUGGCUGACAGCUGUGUUUGUGCAAUGACUAGGUGUACCCCUUAGAAACAAGCCCUGACAAUCUACUCAGCACCCAAUUUGGCUUUGCUGCAUCUGUGCACUUGUAGUCACUCUGUUAUGCAAUCUCUGUGCCUCUACCCACAGUCUGUUGACAUUCAUUUAUUCAUUUGAUUUCAGCUUCACAUGCAGCAACCGCUGUCAUUUCCAUAUUACAAAAGGAGGCUAGGAACAUGUUGAUACAAGGCUUGGGCUCGUGUCUAUGCUCAGAGAACAGAUGGGGAAAGCUCUGUAGUCAUCAACAAAAAGAGGGUACUCAAGGACAUCUUCCCUUUGGUUGCAGGCUCUGUUGGGAGACAUGAUCGGAAGUGGGACUUCCAUUCCAUGAGAAAGGUUGGAAUAAAAAUUUUGUCCUAUUUUUGCAAAAUAAAAUUCCAGUUUUUAGUGGAUGGGAAGAGGCAAGACUGUUACAAUUUUCAGAGAAACAACCCAAAUGCUCUGAUACUUCUGAAACAAAAACAUAACUGAAACACCAAGGAAGAAGUACAUCUUCUUGCUUUGGGUCCUUCAAAGGGUCUAGGAUCCAGUCACCCUCAGUUAGGGCAAGAAUAAACAGUGGAUCUUUUGAACAUGGCAUUCCCAGCUCUGUGACGCAGCUAGGAACCGCCAAAGUCAUCACAAAAGGCAGCUCUUCCAGCAUCUCCCCCCUACCUCUUGGUUCCUAGAAAUGCCCAUUAUGGUAUGAGGAACAGACAGUUUACAGUAAGCACACAAAAAAGAUUUAGAGGUGAUUUUUUGACUAAAUGGUUUCAGGUUUGCCCAGGGCUGUGGGGAAAUGGACUGGGUAGCUCUUACUUGAUUUCUCACUGUACUCAUCUCUCUAGCUAUUGCUCUUCUUUUCAGUAUACAUUGCCUACCUUUGCCUCCUCCAUUUCCAAUUUGAUCUAUCAGCUUGACACAAGAAAAGUGAUGUGGGUACAUUUCUCAUCUGUAUUGCAGGAUAAAAGCUGCCCUCUUAUUUCUACCAUUUGGAGAGGCGAGAAAAUGUGGACAAGCUCCCCACAAAAAAGUAAGACCAGCAGGUGCCCUUUCAUUUUCUGGGACUGUCUGCUUGUCCUAGAGGAAGAUGGAUCUUGGCUGAGAGACAAAAACACAAAGCACUUAUUGGAUAAUCUUCUACCGGUGACAAAGGCUGCAAUGAUAAAGGAAACGAGAAGCUUCCUGGAGGCAAAAUGCAGGUCACCUGGAAAUGCUGACUUUAGCCUUUGCACAUCUUAAUUUGACCUCCUGUCACAAACUGGCCAAAGCUCUAAAAGGACCUACUUUAUCUCUCUAGAGAUAGGAAACUUGCCUCCCUGUAAUUUUUAUCUAACGCAGUUAUGCUGUAGAAUUGUGAUGACUGCCUCUGCAGCACUCGCCUGCUGCUAUAAUGGGAUAAUUGCAGAUAAAGUGCUGUGAAGAGGGCUUCCCAGCAGCAGAGAAUAUGACAUUUGACUCAGCAAAUUGAAAAGUCAUGAUAAAAGAGGAGGGUAUAUUGAGGAAUGUCUGGAUCCACACGGUUCAUGGAUGAGGGAGAGAUGCCACCACUGCCAGCCCCGUGGUGCUUCUCAGCCCAUCACCCCAUGCAGAAAACAGUCCUCCUACAAGAAGACCCGAAGCAAUUUCCUUGUGUUGUACAAAGACUUUUAAUUCACCAUGGGACCCUUCAGCAGACUCCUCCAGGGCUUGGAGGAAGAAGGAUGGGGCCACGUCUGUGUCCAUUACCCAACAUUGUCUUGGGGCAGGAGCCACCUCUUUUUCCAUAGCACCUAUAGGAGCUAUCGACCAUACACUGUGUAAAUGCUGCAGAAGUUAUGUAAGUUAGGAGGCAAAUGCUUCUGGCCACUGUAAUUCAGCAUUGCUCUGUUGACUUGUGACCCAAAGCAUGCUAACAAAUUGUGUGUGUCAGAGGCAAUAAGUGAUGUGAAAACAGAUGAUCACUGGGUGUCAUUUAAAUUCGCAAAGGGUUUAAAAUAUUUGCCAGGCUUCAGUCAGGAGAAUGACUUUUUACUUUUAUGUGUGGAAAUGGCCAUGUGCUUGUAUAUAAAACGUUCCCAAUAGCCACCAUUUUAGGAAGUUCAUUCCACAAAGGAGUCUCAAAACCAAACUAAUUUUACCAUGCCAGCCCUUUCAUUGCCAUGAACUGAGUGCUUUAAACAAUUGUCUAAAGAAAAGUUUAUUGGUGUUGCAGGCAAGCUCAGGCUGCUGGGACUCGUGGUUUGAUUUGUUUUGUUUUGUUUUGUUCUGUGUUUUUGGUUUUGUUUUGUUGUUGUUGUUUGGGGUUUUUUUUGUUUGUUUGUUUGGUUGGUUUUUUUUAAUGUCAAAAACCAGGCUAUCCAAGUUCACACCAACAGAGAUGGAUUUAAUUCAGUUGUUUUCCUUUCUUUCUGGGCUGACUUCUUGUUUGGUUCAUUUUCUAUCUGCUUAACCCUUUGCUAACUUAAGAAAUGGUAUUCAAUGAUUGACAUCUGCAUAUCCUUAAUUGUAUGUUGGUAUUGGAUUGUAAGAGCAACAUAUUUGUUGUAAUAGCUAGGAGAAGAAAGAUGCGUGAUAUUUUGGGAGUGGGCAGGAGGGUGCAUGUGUGAUGAAAAUUAGGCAACCAGUUAAAUUCCCUGUUGACAAUCACGACAUGCGUUAUCUGCUAUCUCAUCGUGCCUGUGCAGAGCUAUCAACAGCUGUGAUAUCACAGCUGUCAACUCAUACCACCUUGCAACUUAUGAUUAACAGGAUUUCCUCUUCGGUUAUUAAAGUAAUAACAAGAGAUACUCUGUGGAAAGCAACAGAACUCGCAGCAAUUGAAUGUACUCUUUCCCUGAAAUACAUCUCAGCUUAUUACCUGGCAAAAGGUAUUAAGCACCACACUUUCAAUACCUGUAGUCAACCAGAGCUUUAUGGGCUGCAACUUAUCAAAUGUGAUCUGGGUAAACUCCUUUGAUUUCAAUGCAGACUUAUACUGGGACUUUGGCUCUAUUUUAGCUAUUUAGUGUUUUGUCUCUGCUGGGACCUGGAGUCAGCCAGGGCUCUGGGGUGGACGUGCUGGGACUUCCCUGUGAGUUAAGGACAUCAAAGGGGCUUUGAAUUUUUAAACUGGCCUUGUAUUGGUUGUCUAGAACAUACACUAAAUAAGACAACUCUUGAAAAGGAUAAAUUUAGAUCUGAUGAAUAAAUAAAAGGGUUCAGAAACCAAUUUCUCUCCAACUUUACAGCAGGACAGACUUUGCUCUUGUGUUACCCUUUGUCUACUACUUUCCAGAAGCCUCUAGCAAGUUCCAUGUGGAUCUAUCUGGGUUCCUGGUGUACAAUCCUCCCCACUAUGCCCUGCAGGAAAGGCUGACACUUGUUCCCCACUACUUCCAGGGCUGCCCCCAUCCCAUAUGCCAUGUCCCACCCCUUCACCUGCUCCUGCCCUAUUGCCUGGAGAUCACUGGCUUGGCUAUGAUGCCUCCUGGACCGUUCCAUGCAGAAUAGACAGUCCACAUCUUCUCCUGAGGCAUCACCUGUGGUAAGACAGCUGUGACAAAUCUUCUGUUUAAGAGGUAAAUGCAUCCCACCGUGAGCAACAGUAUUAUUCCCAAAAACCCUAAAUUUGGCCAUUAGUGUUUAACCAGUCAGUAAAUCAUAUUCCCUUGUGUGCACUGAACUUGCUCAUGGUAAUAGUCAUUACCUAGAGCACCUUCUGACUUUAUAAAGAAUAUCAGCCAGUGCAGAAUGACAACCAAGAAAGUCAACCAGCUAUUUUGCAGCCAUUCUUUGGUGUAAACUCCAAAACAUUGCCUUGCUGUUUGUCCAGAAACUUUGUAAUGUGAUGGAGGUCUGUGUCAUGGCUGUGUGUCUGGGAGUCCCCACACAUGGCAUAAUAAGUUCUUUGUGUUGUCCCAGUGGGCUUGUAUCAUCUGUAGCAAUUCCUUUUCUUCUGUUUCCUAUCUGGAAAAUGAAAUUGUUGCUCUGCCUUGUCUAGCAAGAUGCUGGAUGAGCUGGGCCAGAAUCUCAGCUGGAGCCAGUUGGAUCUACUGUAAAUCAUAAAGUAAAACUGCAAUUUGACAUUUUGUGGUCCAGGUUCAGUUUGGCUGGCUGUCCAUCUGUCAAUGUGCCUGUUUGUGUUUGUCUGUCUAUCUUGUCCUAUAGUCAACUACUACACAUGCAUAUAUGAAAUUCCAUUUCAGUCCUGAUUCACAGAAGUAUUUAGUGCCUCAUUAAUCCUUAUGCAAUUCUGGACAUUUCAUCUUUUUUUUUUCUGGUGUUUUUGGGGUAAAGCUGACAAAUAAACAGCUAAAUCUUUCAGUCACUGGCUGCUGUAAUCAACUAGCUAUAAGAAGAUGUGGUGAAGUUAUUUCUAUUUUUCAGAGAGAAUAAUUCUUCUCUCUCCUUCCACAUGGCAGGAAAAAAAAAACGUUCUGGUAAUGUAGGAGCUUAGAAUUUGUUUUGAAAGUGCCUCUAGUUGACUGACAAGACAAACAAAUGUGGUUCACUUGUAUUAAAAAAACUGUUUUAUAAUCCUUCUAUACAAUGAAAAUGAUGUGUGAGGUAUAAAUAUUCUGGAGUAACAAUUGCAUCCACUUAAAUUUGUGAAAGAAAUAACUAAGGAAAAUGAUGUUGCAAGUGAUUUCACACCUGACCUGGGGCUUUGCAGUUCAUCAGCCGAUGAAACUGUAGGGUCCCCUCCUGCUUUCCAGUUCCAGCUUAUAUCAGGCCAGUGUGUGUCAGUGAACAGCUGCAUACUGUGGCUACUUAAAUUAACACUAAACAGGAUGUUUCAAUUGAAGCUACGCUUAUUUCAGCAGUAAGCUCAGAAUUUGUCAAUAUCUGAGGUGAUACUUCAGGGACCUUGAUGUCCUCAAGCUCAUGUUCUGGGGCAGGCUGCUAGAUCCUCUUGGAAAUCAAGGAACUCGUAUCCGUGUACUUCUCAGUAAGUCUUUCUUCACCUUUUUAAGGGAGAAUUGACUGCUGACUUGAUUGCUUGCAUGUUGUGUGUUUUGGAUCUCAUAUAUACACAUAUUUAAGAACUGCUUUUCCACUAAGAAUCAAGUGAACAUUUCCCAUAAAUGCUUUAUCUUUUGUCCCUUUUCCCUUAUCUUGAGAAAAGCUCAUCUUCGUGCGCUUGUUUACUCAUAUGAUGAAAAAGUAUCUUUUCUUCCUAGUCAUUGUGUACGAAUCUACAAUAAAAAUGAGGUAUAUAAGCCAUCAGAGACAUAGCUACAGGCAAGAAGCAAAGUGGGCUUAGUGACCUUGAUGUGCAUGCCAUAGUUGUUAUGGCAACAGGCAAGUGAAAUCACUGUUGCUAAGGCUCAAAGAAAUAAAGCAAUCUCAGUCACUUAGUGGUCAUUAUUCUCUAGUAACUUAAUUUUGAGUUUGCUGCAAGCUAAACUGCGAAAUGAGUCAGCAAACGAUCUGAAAUACUUAGGAAAAAUAUGAAUGAGGGGAUAUUCUUUUCAGUCCACUUCCACUGAGCCCCUUCAGCGACAAUGUCAGGAGCAACCACAGAGGUUUUCAAGCACCUGGUGAAUUGGGGAGAUAAUUCCCAGUGGUUAUUAGGAGCCACAUUGCGACGCAAAGUGCAGCCUUGAGGCAGGAGCAGCGGAUGGUGCUGACCCCCUGGAAGAGCAGGAGACAGCGUGGUCUGGAGAUAUUUCUCUUUCUUAUCUGAGAUUGGUGAUUUGCAGCUUGUAUUUAUGAGCAAUAAAUUAUAAUUCUAUGCCAUACUUUUAUUUUUGCUUGACCACAGCUAAGAUUUGACUAAUCCUCUCAGACGUGUGAGGACUGGACAGAAGUGUAGUUAGACUAGGAGAAAAAGAAUUCUUUUUUUUUGUGUGUGUUUUUAACAGGUGAAAAUAAAGAC